rnacentral:rRNA from 1 species
UACGGAGGGGGCUAGCGUUGUUCGGAAUUACUGGGCGUAAAGCGCACGUAGGCGGAUUGGAAAGUUGAGGGUGAAAUCCCGGGGCUCAACCCCGGAACUGCCUUCAAAACUCCCAGUCUGGAGGUCGAGAGAGGUGAGUGGAAUUCCGAGUGCAGAGGUGAAAUUCGUAGAUAUUCGGAGGAACACCAGUGGCGAAGGCGGCUCACUGGCUCGAUACUGACGCUGAGGUGCGAAAGCGUGGGGAGCAAACAGG